UCCGUAGGUGAACCUGCGGAAGGAUCAUUACCGAGUGAGGGCCCUCUGGGUCCAACCUCCCACCCGUGUUUAUUUUACCUUGUUGCUUCGGCGGGCCCGCCUUAACUGGCCGCCGGGGGGCUUACGCCCCCGGGCCCGCGCCCGCCGAAGACACCCUCGAACUCUGUCUGAAGAUUGUAGUCUGAGUGAAAAUAUAAAUUAUUUAAAACUUUCAACAACGGAUCUCUUGGUUCCGGCAUCGAUGAAGAACGCAGCGAAAUGCGAUACGUAAUGUGAAUUGCAAAUUCAGUGAAUCAUCGAGUCUUUGAACGCACAUUGCGCCCCCUGGUAUUCCGGGGGGCAUGCCUGUCCGAGCGUCAUUUCUGCCCUCAAGCACGGCUUGUGUGUUGGGCCCCGUCCUCCGAUCCCGGGGGACGGGCCCGAAAGGCAGCGGCGGCACCGCGUCCGGUCCUCGAGCGUAUGGGGCUUUGUCACCCGCUCUGUAGGCCCGGCCGGCGCUUGCCGAUCAACCCAAAUUUUUAUCCAGGUUGACCUCGGAUCAGGUAGGGAUACCCGCUGAACUUAAGCAUAUCAAUAAGCGGAGGAA
rnacentral:rRNA from 3 species